UACAGAGGUCCCAAGCGUUGUUCGGAUUCAUUGGGCGUAAAGGGUGCGUAGGCGGCGCGGUAAGUCGGGUGUGAAAUCCCGGGGCUUAACUCCGAAACUGCAUUCGAUACUGCCGUGCUUGAGGACUGGAGAGGAGACUGGAAUUUACGGUGUAGCGGUGAAAUGCGUAGAUAUCGUAAGGAAGACCAGUGGCGAAGGCGGGUCUCUGGACAGUUCCUGACGCUGAGGCACGAAGGCCAGGGGAGCAAACGGG
rnacentral:rRNA from 1 species